GGGUUUGAUCAUAGCUCAGAUUGAACGCUGGCGGGAUGCUUUACAUACCGUCGAACAGCAGCACGGACUUUCCGGUCUGGUGGCGAGUGGCGAACGGGGUGAUGCCGUAUCGGAACGUGCCUAGUAGCGGGGGAUAACUACGCGAAAGCGUAGCUAUUACCGCAUACGCCCUUCCAGGGAAAGCGGGGGACCUUCCGGGCCUCGCACUGUUAAGGCGGCCGAUAUCGGAUUAGCUAGUUGGUGGGGUAACGGCUCACCAAGGCGACGAUCCAUGUAGCUGGUUUUGGGAGGACGACCAGCCACACUGGAAGGACUGAAGACACAUUGAACUCCUACGGGAGAGCGGCGAUUGAGGGAAUUUUGGACAAUGGGGAAACCCUGAUCCAGCCAUCCCGCGUGUGCGAUGAAGGCCUUGGUUGUCGCUUGCCCUUUUGGCGGGAAAGAAACGGCACGGAUAAUACCCGUGCAACUGACUAUUACACAGAAUAAGCGCCGGCUAACUACGUGCCAGCAGCCGCGGUAUCCGUAAGUGCAACGUUAAUCGGAAUUACUGGGCGUAAAGCGUGCGCAGGCGGUUCGGAAAGAAAGAUGUGAAAUCGGAAGCAACUUGGAACUGCAUUUUUAACUACCGAGCUAGAGUGUGUCAAGAGGAGGUGGAAUUCCGCGUGUAGCAGUGAAAUGCGUAGAUAUGCGGAGGAACACCGAUGGCGAAGGCAGCCUCCUGGGAUAACACUGACAACUCUGCGCGAAAACGAUGAGGCAGAGCGGUUAGAUACCCUGGUGAGUCCACGCCCUAAACGAUGUCAACUAGCUGUUGGGGCCUUCGGGCCUUGGUAUGCAACUAACGCGUGAAGUUGACCGCCUGGGGAAGUACAGUCACCAGAUUAAAACUCAAAGGAAUUGACGGGGACCCGCACAAGCGGUGGAUGAUGUGGUUAGUUGAUGCAACAGCGCGAAAAACCUUUUCUGCUCCGACAUGUCUGGAAUCCCGAAGAGAUUUGGGAGUGCUCGCAAGAGAACCGGAACACAGGUGCUGCAUGGCUGUCGUCAGCUCGUGUGGUAGGAUGUUGGGUUGAGUCCCGCAACGAGCGCAACCCUUGUCAUUAGUUGCUACGAAAGGGCACUCUAUUGAGACUGCCGGUGACAAACCGGAGGAAGGUGAGGAUGACGUCGAGUCCUCCUGGCCCUUAUGGGUAGGGCUUCACACGUCAUGCCAGUAAAAAUCCGGGACAGAGGGUCGCCAACCCGCAGGGGAGCCAAUCCCCAGAAACCCGAUCGUAGUCCGGAUCGCAGUCUGCAACUCGACUGCGUGAAGUCAGGAAUCGCUAGUAAUCGCGGAUCAGCAUGUCGCGGUGGUGUCGUUCCCGGGUCUUGUCCUACCGCCCGUCACACCAUGGGAGUGGGUUUUACCGAAGUAGUUAGCCUAACCGUAAGGAGGGCGAUUACCACGAUAGGAUUCAUGACUGGGAGUGAAGUCGUAACAAGGUAA
rnacentral:rRNA from 1 species